GUCUACGGCCAUACCACCCUGAAUGCGCCCGAUCUCGUCUGAUCUCGGAAGCUAAGCAGGGUCGGGCCUGGUUAGUACUUGGAUGGGAGAAAAAGCGAGGCAUCAAACC
rnacentral:rRNA from 1 species